GGCUGAGUGUGAGAGAGGGAGAGAGGCGAAGGCACCUUCUCAGUUCUCGACGGCUGCUGCGGUGGCUCGACGGCAGUGGCUCGACGGCGGUGGCUCGACCCGUGUGAGAGUGAGGCGUUCUCACUUCUCAGUUCUCGACGGGUCUGCGAUGGCUCGACGGCGAGCCCUCGACCCGUGUGACGGUGUGAGUAUGACAGUGACUCAGUGAGGCGUUGGAAGCAGCUUCAGCGAAGCCUGCUCGAAGAAUGAGAACCACUGAAGCAGAGAAGGGAAGGCGUUUUGGUGAUUUAGGGAUCUCAGCAUCUGGAGUUUUGGUGAUUUAGGGAUUCAGAAUGAAAAAACGCCAGCGUUUUGUUGCCAUCCAAAAAACCGGCCGGGUCACGGUUCGGUUCGACCGACCGGUUACCGGCCGAUUCGCCGGUUCAAUUCCGGUUUUUGAAUUUUACGGUUUUGAUGAAUGUCCGAACCGUUUUUCAGUCCGGUUCACGGUUCGACCGGUCCGACCGGCCGGUUCGAACCG